UACAGAGGGUGCGAGCGUUGAUCGGAAUUACUGGGCGUAAAGCGCACGUAGGCGGCUUGGUAUGUCGGGUGUGAAAUCCCCGGGCUCAACCUGGUAACUGCAUCCGAAACUGCCUUGCUCGAGUAUGGGAGAGGGAAGCGGAAUUUCCGGUGUAGCGGUGAAAUGAGUAGAUAUCGGAAGGAACAUCAGUGGCGAAGGCGGCUUCCUGGACCAAUACUAGCGCUCAGGUGCGAUAGCGUGGGGAGCAAACAGG
rnacentral:rRNA from 1 species